AAAUGCCCACCAAGCCGAUGAUCCGUAAGGGCUCUUAGCGGAGAGGCCCUGAGAGGGAAUUUGAGACACUAUUCCCAGCCCUACGGGGUGCAGCAGUUAGGAAUCAUNUGCAAUGCGCGCAAGCGUGACAGUUUGAGCCAGAGUGCUUCUCAUUGAGAAGCUUUUGCCAAAUGUAAAAAGUUUGGAGAAUAAGGACUGGGCAAGACUAGUGCCAGCCGCCGCGGUAAUACUAGCGGUCCAAGUCGCAGCCACAUUUAUUGGGUCUAAAACAUCCGUAGCUUGCUAAGAAAGUUUCCUGUGAAAUCCAUCUGCUUAACAGAUGGGCGUGCAAGAAAUACUACUUGGCUAGAGACUGGAAGACAUAGAAAGUACGUUCAAAGUAGCGGUAAAAUGUGUUGAUCUUGGACGGACUCACAAUAGCGAAGGCAUUCUAUGAGGACAGUUCUGACAGUAAGGGAUGAAGGCUAGGGGCGCAAAGUGGAUUAGAUACCCAUGUAGUCCUAGCAGUAAACACUGCACACUAAACAUUAGUACCUCUUCGAGAGGUAUUGGUGCUGUAGCGAAGGCGAAGAGUGUGCUACCUGGGAAGUAUAGUCGCAAGACCGAAACUUAAAGGAAUAGGCGGGGAGGCACUACAACGGGUGACGCGUGCGGUUCAAUUAGAUUCUACACCGUGAACCUCACCAGGAGCGACAGCAGAAUGAAGGUCAGUCUAAAGGGCUUACCUGACACGCUGAGAGGAGGUGCAUGGCCA
rnacentral:rRNA from 1 species